rnacentral:rRNA from 1 species
CAGUCGCCACGGUAAUACGAAGGGGGCUAGCGUUGCUCGGAAUGACUGGGCGUAAAGGGCGCGUAGGCGGCGAUCAAAGUCAGGCGUGAAAUUCCUGGGCUCAACCUGGGGGCUGCGCUUGAUACUUGGUUGCUUGAGUGGGGAAGAGGGUCGUGGAACUCCCAGUGUAGAGGUGAAAUGCGUAGAUAUGCGGAGGAACACCGAUGGCGAAGGCAGCCCCCUGGGCCAACACUGACGCUCAUGCGCGAAAGCGUGGGGAGCAAACAGGAUUAGAGACCCCUGUAGUCCCUGUCUCUUAUAA